rnacentral:rRNA from 1 species
UACAGAGGGGGCAAGCGUUGUUCGGAAUUACUGGGCGUAAAGGGCGCGUAGGUGGCCUGCUAAGUUGAACGUGAAAUCCCUGGGCUCAACCCAGGAACUGCGUCCAAGACUGGGAGGCUUGAAUCCGGGAGAGGGAUGCGGAAUUCCAGGUGUAGCGGUGAAAUGCGUAGAUAUCUGGAGGAACACCGGUGGCGAAGGCGGCAUCCUGGACCGGUAUUGACACUGAGGCGCGAAAGCCAGGGGAGCAAACGGG